GACGAACGCUGGCGGCGUGCUUAACACAUGCAAGUCGAACGAUGAACUUGGAGCUUGCUCUGGGGGAUUAGUGGCGAACGGGUGAGUAACACGUGAGUAACCUGCCCUGGACUCUGGGAUAACUUCGAGAAAUCGGAGCUAAUACCGGAUAGGACCUUGCACCGCAUGGUGUGGGGUGGAAAGUUUUUCGGUUUGGGAUGGACUCGCGGCCUAUCAGCUUGUUGGUGGGGUAAUGGCUCACCAAGGCGUCGACGGGUAGCCGGCCUGAGAGGGUGAACGGCCACACUGGGACUGGGACACGGCCCAGACUCCUACGGGAGGCAGCAGUGGGGAAUAUUGCACAAUGGGCGCAAGCCUGAUGCAGCAACGCCGCGUGCGGGAUGACGGCCUUCGGGUUGUAAACCGCUUUUAGUAGGGAAGAAGCCUUCGGGUGACGGUACCUGCAGAAAAAGGACCGGCUAACUACGUGCCAGCCGCCGCGGUAACAC
rnacentral:rRNA from 1 species